AGCAGCCGCGGUAAUUCCAGCUCCAAUAGCGUAUAUUAAAGUUGUUGCAGUUAAAAAGCUCAUAGUUGAAUUUCGGGGUUAAUAAGUUGGUCGUACCUAUGGUAUGUACUGGCUUUAUUGAUUCCUACCUCUUGACGAACUGUGAUGCCAUUAAUUUGGUGUUGCAAGGAAUCAGGACUGUUACCUUGAAAAAAUUAGAGUGUUUAAAGCAGGCUUACGCUUGAAUACAUUAGCAUGGAAUAAUGAAAUAGGACGUUUGAACCUAUUUUGUUGGUUUCUAGGAUCGACGUAAUGAUUAAUAGGGAUAGUUGGGGGCAUUAGUAUUCAAUUGUCAGAGGUGAAAUUCUUGGAUUUAUUGAAGACUAACUACUGCGAAAGCAUUUGCCAAGGAUGUUUUCAUUAAUCAAGACGAAAGUUGGGGGCUCGAAGACGAUCAGAUACCGUCGUAGUCUUAACCAUAAACUAUGCCGACUAGGGAUCGGAUGAUGUUAAUUUUUUUAAUGAC
rnacentral:rRNA from 1 species